UUUUUUCAGGAAAAGGAAUCUUCGGAAGAUUAUAAUGUUGCAUGUAUCUUGACACUGCCACCAUACCAGCGGAAAGGUUAUGGCAAAUUACUGAUAGAAUUUAGCUAUGAGCUAUCAAAAUUUGAGGGCAAAACAGGUUCCCCGGAGAAACCGCUCAGUGACUUAGGCUUACUGUCAUACCGCUCUUACUGGAAGCAGACAAUAUUGGAAAUUCUGAUAGGACUAAAGCCUCAGGAAGGACAAGAGAAACCUCAGUUGACAAUCAAUGAGAUCUGUGAACAGACAAGCAUCAAGAAAGAAGAUGUAAUAUCAACUUUAACAAACUUAGAACUUAUCAAUUAUUAUAGAGGGCAGUAUAUACUUACUCUAAAUAAGGAAUUAGUUGAAAGUCAUCGUAAGGCAAUGGAAAGGAGAAAAGUGAGAAUUGAUUCCAAAAAUCUACAUUGGACCCCUAAAGACUGGGCUAAAAGAGGAAAAUGGUAAUAUAUUGGUUUUCAUUAGUACUGUAUGUGCAACUGUAAAGUUUCAUUUUCCCUUAA